UCAUUAAAAAGGAGUUUAUAAGUCUCAGGAAUGGCCUCAGUGUCUCUCUCUUUCUCAAGCAGUCAAAUCCUCUCUUGAAAAUGUCAGGAAACAUUAAGUCAUCUUAGAUUGAUAUCCCCAUGGCAUUCCCACUUAUGGAUGCUAUUGGCCCUGGGUCUUGGAGCAAGAAAGAAGCAUAAAUCACUGGCAUUGGCAGAUGGAUUAUUGGUUGCUCUACAUUUGCACAUGUUCCUGAUCUGGAAGACAAAUACAGGAGUGGAAACUCUGCUGUCUCCCCCAGGAAAGCAUCCCGGA